rnacentral:rRNA from 1 species
UACAGAGGGUGCGAGCGUUAAUCGGAAUUACUGGGCGUAAAGCGUGCGUAGACGGCUAUCUAAGUCGGGUGUGAAAGCCCCGGGCUCAACCUGGGAAUUGCAUUCGAGACUGAAUAGCUAGGGUGCGGUAGAGGGAAGCGGAAUUUCCGGUGUAGCGGUGAAAUGCGUAGAUAUCGGAAAGGAACAUCAGUGGCGAAAGCGGCUUCCUGGACCAGCACCG